UUCAUAAACCUAAGAUCUUCCACCGAAAAUCUUCAAAGAAAUUGAUCCCCCCUAAAUCCUUUGGAUUUUCUCUUCCUCUUCUUGUCGCUGUGUACUUUCAUGGCUUCAAAAGAGACCCAAUUAGGUAUGAAUGAUGAGGCUAU